CAGAGCUGGCUGUCUACCCUUGUGAGGCCUCUGAAAGCAUUACGGGUCUCUUUGACCAAGCCUUCACCUUUUCCAUUCAAAGGGUCUUUCUGAGCAGCCUUUGUCAACAGCUGGGGAGUUGUGGUAUACCCUGCAACAACAGUGUCUGCCUUGGAGUGCGGCCAAAGUGUGCGGCCUGAGGACCCUGGCCCUGUUAGGAGACGCCAAGUGAGAGACAACAGUCCAGCGACGGCAGGAGCUUCCAGGACAGCAAGGCGGCCUUCUUCUGCACCCGAGGCAGAUUCACAUCCCCGGACCUCCGAGAGCUAAGUCGAGGCUUGUGACCCACAGAGGGGGUGACAGCGGGGUGUUGAGUUGGGACUCGCCGGGAGGGAUUUUUGAGUCAGAUUUGGAGGUGGGGAUGUUCAAGAAGGGGCCCCUUAGGCCAGCACAAAGGGAAAAUCUCAUGUUUGACCACAAUGCUGAGGUCUGCAGGGCAGAGCAGUCCUGGUGCACGUCACUUGUCCCUUGUGUGUUCUCUGUCUUUUGGGCAUCUCGUGUCACAGUUCUUUUGCCUUAGCCCUUUGAGAUGCUUAUCACAAACGCUGGGCGUUAUUCUUAGCAUCUCUGCUCUUGGUGUUCUUCAGUGUGGUGCUGAUACCAUCGAUCCUUUGACUCUUGAGCUUGGAACUUCAUCAGAAUUGCGUCUCCUUAGCAAUAUCGAGUCGGGUGUCUUUUCAGGCCUUGUUCUGAGCUGCAUCGACAGCUGUGCACCACAAUGAUCCAUUACAGGGGAUGAGGACUUGUAAGAAUGCGAGGACAGCUAGAGGAU